rnacentral:rRNA from 1 species
GGGUCAGUAGGUUGGUCGUGCCACCGGUACGUACUGGUCUCACUGAUUCCUCCUUCCUGAAGAACCGUAAUGCCAUUAAUUUGGUGUUGCGGGAAAACAGGACUGUUACUUUGAAAAAAUUAGAGUGUUUAAAGCAAGCUAACGCUUGAAUUCAUUAGCAUGGAAUAAUGAAAUAGGACGAUCGAUCCUAUUUUGUUGGUUUCUAGGAUUGACGUA